rnacentral:rRNA from 1 species
AUUGAACGCUUGCGGCAGGCCUAACACAUGCAAGUCGAGCGAGCGGCGGACGGGUGAGUAAUGUAUGGGGACUGCCCGCUAGAGGGGGCUAACUACUGGAAACGGUAGCUAAUACCGCAUACUAUCGGAUAACCCAUAUGUGAUUAGCUAGUAGGUGGGGUAAUGGCUCACGUAGGCGACGAUCCCUAGCUGGUCUGAUAUGUUGAUCAGCCACAUGUGGACUGAUACACGGCCAAGUAUACUACGGAGGCAGCAGUGGGGAAUAUUGAACAAUGGGGGUAAGACUGAUGCAGCCAUGCCGCGUGUAUGAAGAAGGCCCUAGGGUUGUAAAGUACUUUCAGUGGGGAGGCGUUACCGGCAGAAGAAGAACCGGCUAACUCCGUGCCAGCAGCCGAGGUAAUAC